rnacentral:rRNA from 1 species
UGGGGAAUAUUGCGCAAUGGGGGGAACCCUGACGCAGCCAUGCCGCGUGAAUGAAGAAGGCCUUAGGGUUGUAAAGUUCUUUCGGUAUUGAGGAAGGUUGAUGUGUUAAUAGCACAUCAAAUUGACGUUAAAUACAGAAGAAGCACCGGCUAACUCCGUGCCACCAGCCGCGGUAAUACGGAGGGUGCGAGCGUUAAUCGGAAUAACUGGGCGUAAAGGGCACGCAGGCGGUUAUUUAAGUGAGGUGUGAAAGCCCCGGGCUUAACCUGGGAAUUGCAUUUCAGACUGGGUAACUAGAGUACUUUAGGGAGGGGUAGAAUUCCACGUGUAGCGGUGAAAUGCGUAGAGAUGUGGAGGAAUACCGAAGGCGAAGGCAGCCCCUUGGGAUGUACUGACGCUCAUGUGCGAAAGCGUGGGUAGCAAACAGGANUANAUACCCUGGUAGUCCACGCUGUAAACGCUGUCGAUUUGGGGGUUGGGGUUUAACUCUGGCGCCCGUAGCUANNNCNUAGCUAACGUGAUAAAUCGACCGCCUGGGGAGUACGGCNCAAGNUA